CCCUUAGAUGUUCUGGGCUGCACGCGCGCUACACUGAUGCGUUCAACGAGUUUUUGACCUUGCCUGACACGGUUGGGUAAUCUUGUUAAAACGCAUCGUGAUGGGGAUAGAUUAUUGCAAUUAUUGAUCUUCAACGAGGAAUUCCUAGUAAACGCAAGUCAUCAACUUGCAUUGAUUACGUCCCUGCCCUUUGUACACACCGCCCGUCGCACCUACCGAUUGAAUGGUCCGGUGAAGCCUCCGGAUUGGCGCGCACCUCGGUGCCGCCGAGAAGUUGGCUAAACCUUACCAUUUAGAGGAAGGUGAAGUCGUAACA
rnacentral:rRNA from 1 species